AAUGCCAUAACAGAAAGGGAGAGGAGGAGAGCUCCUUAACCCUAAUCAAAUAUUCCAACCACCAUAUCUUCCUCGUUUGAGCUCCGAUCACUGCACCGUUUGCGGCCACGCGUCCAGCGCGUCGAGCUCUACCUUUCUAUCUAAUCAAUUUCACUGGCUCAAUUUAGCUUUUGGGACUUAUGGGCUCAAGCUAUUGAGUAUAUGGGUAUGGUGUAGAUUAAAUGGGUAUAUAUGCUUUGGAAUUGAAUUGGGAAUAUUUGGAGGCUUGUUGGUGAUCAAGGCUUGGUUUGUGGCUGUUUUAGUUGAGUUUGGAGGGGCUGUGUUUUAUCUUGUGAGGCUGCCUUGGGUGAAACUAAGUGGUCGGCCAAGAUGCAGGUCGAGAGGCUCCUCGCUAGGCGUCUGGAUCCUUGAAGUGAAGUAAUUCUUGGGUGUAUUUUGGAUUUCUGUUUGUAUAUAUGUACAUAUGUAUUUAGCUUACUCUCCAAGUAACUUGUGUAUGCUACUCCUCAUAGAGGUUGAGAGAGAGAUAUGAAUUUAUUUUAGUAUUUUGAGUUUUGAGUAUUUUGGGAUAUAUAUAUAUAUAUAUAUAUAUAUAUAUAUAUUCU